GGAAGAAAUCAAUAAAGAGUUUGAAGAGAAGAAGCCUGAGCUCCAACCUAAAGUGGUCGAAAUCUAUGAAGCUUCUUCAGCUGAAAUCAAGGUCUCUACAUGAAUGAACAUACCAAAUCUGUUAUAGCUACAAAUGUCAGAGAGAAUUAAAAAGAUCCAAUUCAUGCAAGUUUUUAUUUAUUAAUUUAACCUUUUUUUUUUUUUUUGGCUUUGGCUUUGGCGUUUAAAUGAAAAUACAGACCCUGGUCAAGGAUCGCAAGGAGGAUGGACUUAAGAAGCACUCCACUGCUGUGCACAAGUUACUUGAAGAACUCGUUAAAAUCGGUAAAAUAGUUCUAUCACAUAUGGUAUUAUUAAUUAAAGUUAAGGUCAUGUGUUAAAAUCACAUGAGAAUUUUAUUAACAUAUAUGUAUGUGUGUAUAUACAGAGUUUCCAGGAUCAAAAGCAGUAAGUGAAGCAUCGUCAAAGUUUGGGGCAGCCUCUGUUCCGGGGCCAGUUUUCUUCAUAUUUGAGAAGGUCUCAACGUUUAUUGUUACUGAAGAAAAAGCAGCAGAGCCAGCAACCGCGGCAGCAGGAGAAGAAACAAAACCAGAACAAGAGACAACAAGUAGUAGUACCGCCGCAGUCACAGAGAAGGACGACGUAGUUGUUGAGGAAGAGAAGAAAGAAGAGGCCCCCGCCGGCCCUGAGAAAACUGAGCCGGCAGAAGCCGCCGCCGCCCCAGCCCCAACUGAGCCUCUUCCUGCCGCCGCCAAGGAGGACCAACCAGCUGCUGCAGAGCCACCAAAGCCUUGAGAACAUGCAUCAACUGACAAGACAAAUUCAUAUCCAUAUAUACAUAGAUAUAUAUUUCAUAUUCAUCAAGUGAAAGUGAAGUAAUAAUGUUAAUAUUUUGUGUACGUAAAAGUCUUGUAAAAUGCAAAACAUGAUUUGUUAUUCUUUCUUUUUCCUCUAUAUGCGCAUGUAUAUCACCUACUUGUUUUUUUUUCCCUUGUAUUAUUUUGUUUUACAGUCUUUAUUUUUACUUUCUUUAUUAUUAUUAUUUUUUGUAUUUGUGAAUUAUUAUUAUUUGUAAUAUUUAAUUUUUACAAUACAGGGAUUAAUGUGGUGGGUGGAGAUACCCUUAACGCUUUAGUUGCUUUCAUUGAUUUGAUUGUAUGUGUUUUCCUCAUGGAGAUCAUUUAAAAAGAGAUAGGCAAAAAAAAAAAGAAAAAAGAAUAUUGAUGAUGAGAAGUUAUUUGUUUAUAAUUAAUAAUUCCAAGCUCCCUCUUUCUCGCUAUUUAAUUUAUAAGUGUGUAAUGUGCUCUCUUGACCUACACUUGUGUGUUUCAUUUAUAUAAAUGGGUUGGUGAGGGAAAGAAUUAAAUGUGACUAAUAACGCAAAAAAUAAAUAAUACUUGGGUUUUACAGGGAUGAUUAUUUGUUUACCUUUACAUUGAAGAACUAAAACGAUAUAAUAAUAAUUAUGCAAUGAAGAGGGUCAAAGAUUUUUCUUCUCUUGUGCUUGAAAAUUUCCUUGUCAUUCGUUCUUCUUUUGUUGGUUUCUCUUAUCCUCAUGAAUGGAAAUUUUUUCUCAUUAUUUUUCCUCUCAAUAGCCUACUAGUACUUGUUUUUUUUUUUUCUGAAGCUAAAUUCCAUCACUAAGAUUGUUGAUAAACAAUUAGUAACGACCAAUUAUGAUACUACUUUUGGUCUUUGGUGUGCAACUAUACAUGCACAUAGAUGGAAAAACCUGUAACUCCAUGCUCAUAUAUAUGAUGCAAACGCUAAUUUGGA
rnacentral:lncRNA from 1 species